AUGUGUAUGAAGCUGUCUGCAUCGAGGGAAGAACCCAGCACUGAAAUGACACAAAUGAAAGAAGAGUACUUCUGCUCUGCUGGGUCUGCGACACUACUUAUCCGAGGAGUCCUCAAACAUUAGGAUGUAGGAAGACACAAGUAAAAGGAGAAGAAUGCUGCUCAGCUGAGUCGGCGGUCACACUACUUAUUCAAGAAGCUCUUGGAUAUCAUCGGCAUGUGUGAAGCACAGUCAUUCCGGUAGGCACGGAGUCGUUCCUCGAUGGACGUGAUGACCUGGCACCAAAACCACUUAAUGUGUAUGAAGCUGUGUCUGCAUCGAGGGAAGAACCCAGCACUGAAAUGACACAAAUGAAAGAGGACGUCUUCUCUGCUGGGUCUGCGACACUACUUAUCCUAGGAAUCCUCAAACAUCAGGAUGUAGGAAACUUAUGGUGAGAUGCCAAGAACCGCCAUGAGGGAUAUGCAACCUGCAGCUUCACCAUGCUUUUGGGAGAUCAUGUACUACGUGAACCUUGAGUAUCUACAAGCCAGCUACUUUAAGUCCUUGAAAGGGUAGUGAUGUCAUUCAAGCCAGAUCACGAGACAAGAUCCUGUACAAACUGUCAAUCUAAGUGUUGCGACAUCCCUGUCAGUUCUUUUGGACUGAAUACAUGCUGUGUUUGAAAUGUAUUAUUCGGAUAACCUCCCAUCAGGGAAUACCUUGUCUGUUUAUGACGGAUGGACAUGCCAUUGACAUGCAGUGCACACUUUGAUGUUUUUUAUUUUAAUGUUUUCUAUGUUUUUCCGAUGUUCUUUUUUAUUUAUGUUCUGUUAUAUGCUGGUUAUGUAAGUACUGUAUGGAAUGUAGUGACUGUAGAGCCCAAGACAAAUUUCAACCUGGGGACAAAAAGUUCACUCCACUCUGUUAGCGCAGUUAUGGAUGCACUGUAAAUUUUGUAAUUAACCAAAAGUACGGUGAGAAGCCUGUUUGUGCAGAUGGACCUGCUGGCGGGCCUGUUUACUCAUAGCUAAAAAGCAACAUAUUCUCUGUGCAAAGCACAUGGGCUCUUUGCAAAGGGGUUAAACAUUUUCAUGUGCUGUUUUACAGUGUGCUAUACAAAAGGUAAGGUGAAACUAUUUUUUUGAAAUUCUAUAAUUGUACAGUGUCACUGAAAUCAAAUGGUGCAUUGGUAAAACUGAACCAUUUCCUUUAAUCCCGUUUAGCAGAGCCUAUGUUUGAACUAUACUGUCACCAAUAUUGUAAUGACUGAGUUUUAACCUGUUACUUAAGGCUCUUGGUAAUGUCAUAGCAAUGUUGCUAUGAUGUAGUUGAGUCUUUUCAGUCAUGAGUGAUCAGUCUUGCUGAUAACCCGUCUUUGCAAAGAGGCUACAAAGAUGCAUGUAAAUUCAAUUAAGGUUUUAUUGCUCCAAUGCUAUCAUGUGUUAAUGCUACACUGCUGUGAUUUGCAUCUUUAUAGUAUACUUUUAUGAAAUGUAUUGUUAAUUAUCUUCAUUGUUCAGCAAUAAAAAAAAAAGAUCUGAA